rnacentral:rRNA from 1 species
UACGUAGGGGGCAAGCGUUGUCUGGAAUUAUUGGGCGUAAAGAGCGCGUAGGCGGUCCGAUAAGUCGGCUGUGAAAGUCAGGGGCUCAACCCUUGAAAGCCGGCCGAUACUGUCGGACUAGAGUCCGGGAGAGGAGAGUGGAAUUCCUGGUGUAGCGGUGAAAUGCGCAGAUAUCAGGAAGAACACCCGUGGCGAAAGCGGCUCUCUGGAACGGUACUGACGCUGAGACGCGAAAGCGUGGGGAGCGAACAGG